rnacentral:ncRNA from 19 species
ACACACCGACAGGGGAGCGCUCGCAGCGCUGAGAGUGCGGCACCGUCCAGGCCGCAGACCCUCGAACCUCGCCCAGGUCAUUCUGGGUAGGAAGUUCGGUCGAGACUCUGC